GAGUUGCGAACGGGUGAGUAACGCGUAGGUAACCUGCCUUGUAGCGGGGGAUAACUAUUGGAAACGAUAGCUAAUACCGCAUAACAAUGGAUGACACAUGUCAUUUAUUUGAAAGGGGCAAUUGCUCCACUACAAGAUGGACCUGCGUUGUAUUAGCUAGUAGGUGAGGUAAUGGCUCACCUAGGCGACGAUACAUAGCCGACCUGAGAGGGUGAUCGGCCACACUGGGACUGAGACACGGCCCAGACUCCUACGGGAGGCAGCAGUAGGGAAUCUUCGGCAAUGGGGGCAACCCUGACCGAGCAACGCCGCGUGAGUGAAGAAGGUUUUCGGAUCGUAAAGCUCUGUUGUAAGUCAAGAACGGGUGUGAGAGUGGAAAGUUCACACUGUGACGGUAGCUUACCAGAAAGGGACGGCUAACUACGUGCCAGCAGCCGCGGUAAUACGUAGGUCCCGAGCGUUGUCCGGAUUUAUUGGGCGUAAAGCGAGCGCAGGCGGUUUGAUAAGUCUGAAGUUAAAGGCUGUGGCUCAACCAUAGUUCGCUUUGGAAACUGUCAAACUUGAGUGCAGAAGGGGAGAGUGGAAUUCCAUGUGUAGCGGUGAAAUGCGUAGAUAUAUGGAGGAACACCGGUGGCGAAAGCGGCUCUCUGGUCUGUAACUGACGCUGAGGCUCGAAAGCGUGGGGAGCGAACAGGAUUAGAUACCCUGGUAGUCCACGCCGUAAACGAUGAGUGCUAGGUGUUGGAUCCUUUCCGGGAUUCAGUGCCGCAGCUAACGCAUUAAGCACUCCGCCUGGGGAGUACGACCGCAAGGUUGAAACUCAAAGGAAUUGACGGGGGCCCGCACAAGCGGUGGAGCAUGUGGUUUAAUUCGAAGCAACGCGAAGAACCUUACCAGGUCUUGACAUCCCACGUACGUACGUAGAGAUAGAAAGUUACUUCGGUACAUCGGUGACAGGUGGUGCAUGGUUGUCGUCAGCUCGUGUCGUGAGAUGUACGACUAGCUACGAUCGCGAGCGCAACCCCUAUUGUUAGUUGCCAUCAUUCAGUUGGGCACUCUAGCGAGACUGCCGGUAAUAAACCGGAGGAAGGUGGGGAUGACGUCAAAUCAUCAUGCCCCUUAUGACCUGGGCUACACACGUGCUACAAUGGUUACGACGACUAGCAUGUACUCGGUGACGGCGAGCUAAUCUCUUAAAGCCAAUCUCAGUUCGGAUUGUAGGCUGCAACUCGCCUACAUGAAGUCGGAAUCGCUAGUAAUCGCGGAUCAGCACGCCGCGGUGAAU
rnacentral:rRNA from 1 species